AGCAGCCGCGGUAAUUCCAGCUCCAAUAGCGUAUAUUAAAGUUGCUGCAGUUAAAAAGCUCGUAGUUGAAUUUCGGGACCAAUAUGUCGGUCGUGCCUCGGUACGUACUGGCAUCGUUGGUUUCUCCCUUCUGACGAACCAUGAUGUCAUUUAUUUGGUGUCGUGGGGAAUCAGGACUGUUACUUUGAAAAAAUUAGAGUGUUUAAAGCAGGCUCACGCUUGAAUACAUUAGCAUGGAAUAAUGAAAUAGGACGUUUGAUUCUAUUUUGUUGGUUUCUAGGAUCGACGUAAUGAUUAAUAGGGAUAGUUGGGGGCAUUAGUAUUCAAUUGUCAGAGGUGAAAUUCUUGGAUUUAUUGAAGACUAACUACUGCGAAAGCAUUUGCCGAAGGAUGUUUUCUUUAAUCAAGAACGAAAGUUAGGGUUCAGGACGAUCUGAUACCGUCGUAGUCUUAACCAUAACUAUGCCGACUAAGGGAUCGGAUGAUGU
rnacentral:rRNA from 1 species